CCCCUAAGGAGUUAUUGCCCUUCAUAGUCAAUUUUUAACAAUUUUCUUAAAAUUUGAAGAUUUUCAAUAACAUUUUCCACAGAAAGUACUUUAUAGAUAGAGAUAAUUGUAAGCAGCAAGAAUGUUUAGUAAAGUAAGAUCUACAAACACAUCACCAUCACCAAAACACAAUUUUGUCAUGAAUCCAUCUGUGUCCAUUGUUUAAUAUUCACAUAGACCAAGGUGAGCGACACAGGCUCUUUAGAGCCUCUAGUUUUACAAAG
rnacentral:lncRNA from 1 species